rnacentral:rRNA from 1 species
AGAGUUUGAUCAUGGCUCAGAUUGAACGCUGCGGAAUGCUUUACACAUGCAAGUCGAACGGGCAGCACGGGGCAACCUGGUGGCGAGUGGCGAACGGGUGAGUAAUACAUCGGAACGUGCCCAAUCGUGGGGAUAACGUAGCGAAAGUUACGCUAAUACCGCAUACGAUCUACGGAUGAAAGCGGGGGAUCGCAAGACCUCGCGCGAGUGGAGCGGCCGAUGUCAGAUUAGGUAGUUGGUGGGGUAAAGGCUCACCAAGCCAACGAUCUGUAGCUGGUCUGAGAGGACGACCAGCCACACUGGAACUGAGACACGGUCCAGACUCCUACGGGAGGCAGCAGUGGGGAAUUUUGGACAAUGGGCGCAAGCCUGAUCCAGCCAUUCCGCGUGCAGGAUGAAGGCCUUCGGGUUGUAAACUGCUUUUGUACGGAACGAAACGGCGAGCUCUAAUACAGUUUGCUAAUGACGGUACCGUAAGAAUAAGCACCGGCUAACUACGUG